CGGUGGAGCAUGUGGUUUAAUUCGAUGAUACGCGAGGAACCUUACCUGGGCUCGAACGUAAGAUGACUGUAGGUGAAAGCUUACAUCUCUUCGGAGCAUUUUACGAGGUGCUGCAUGGUUGUCGUCAGCUCGUGCCGUGAGGUGUCGGGUUAAGUCCCAUAACGAGCGCAACCCCUACCUUUAGUUGCCAUCAGGUUAAGCUGGGGACUCUAAAGGAACUGCCUACGCAAGUAGUGAGGAAGGCGGGGAUGACGUCAAAUCAGCACGGCCCUUACGUCCAGGGCUACACACGUGCUACAAUGGCCGAUACAGAGGGCAGCUACCUGGUGACAGGAUGCAAAUCUCCAAAGUCGGUCUCAGUUCGGAUCGGAGUCUGCAACCCGACUCCGUGAAGUUGGAUUCGCUAGUAAUCGCGCAUCAGCCAUGGCGCGGUGAAUACGUUCCCGGGCCUU
rnacentral:rRNA from 1 species